UACGUAGGGGGCAAGCGUUGUCCGGAUUUAUUGGGGCGUAAAGAGCGUGUAGGCGGCCUUACAGGUCAGCUGUGAAAACUCGAGGCUCAACCUCGAGAGGUCGGUUGUAAACCGUAAGGCUAGAGUCCGGAAGAGGAGAGUGGAAUUCCCGGUGUAAGCGGUGAAAUGCGCAGAUAUCGGGAAGAACACCCGUGGCGAAGGCGGCUCUCUGGGACGGUACUGACGCUGAGACGGCGAAAAGCGUGGGGAGCGAACAGG
rnacentral:rRNA from 1 species